ensembl:snRNA U6 U6 spliceosomal RNA
AUGCUCACUUUGGAAGCACAUACACUAAAACGAGAAUGUUGCAGAGAAGAUGAGCAUGGUACCUGUGCAAGGAUGACACAUUUGUGAAGUGUUCCCUAUUAAA